rnacentral:rRNA from 1 species
UACGUAUGGUGCAAGCGUUAUCCGGAAUGACUGGGUGUAAAGGGAGCGUAGACGGUUGUUCAAGUCUGAUGUGAAAGCCCUCGGCUUAACUGGGGGAGUGCGUUGGAAACUGAAGGACUAGAGUAUCGGAGAGGCAAGUGGAAUUCCUAGUGUAGCGGUGAAAUGCGUAGAUAUUAGGAGGAACACCAGUGGCGAAGGCGGCUUGCUGGACGAAAACUGACGUUGAGGCUCGAAAGCGUGGGGAGCAAACAGG